rnacentral:rRNA from 1 species
UACGUAGGGCGCAAGCGUUGUCCGGAAUUAUUGGGCGUAAAGAGCUCGUAGGCGGUUUGUCGCGUCUGCUGUGAAACUAAGCUCAACCUUGGGCUUGCAGUGGGUACGGGCAGACUAGAGUGCGGUAGGGGUGACUGGAAUUCCUGGUGUAGCGGUGGAAUGCGCAGAUAUCAGGAGGAACACCGAUGGCGAAGGCAGGUCACUGGGCCGCAACUGACGCUGGAGGUAACGAAAGCGUGGGGAGCAAACAGG